AACCACCUAAACGACGUAUCCCUGAAGAAGAAAUUCCUGCUCCUGUUGUUAAAAGAGAGGAAGCCCCUCCAGCUAAAGGUAUAUUGAUCCAUUUAUUAAUGUCCUUUGGCGUUUUCUUUACAUUUCUUGGUUUUUCUAUCACAUGUGAGCUCUCCUUUUGUUACAAAAUGAAUUCAUAUUUGAUAUGUUACAACAUGCCAUAAUAUAAAAAGUCUGAAAAACAAAUAUCUUCUUAAGUUCCUGAGGUACAUAAGAGAGUGGUCACAGAGGAAAAGAUUACCAUCAUUACUCAAAGGGAAGAGUCUCCACCUGCACCAGGUACUCUUUUUUAAAAAAGUUUACUUGUUUAUAAUCACCUGAAAAUCUUCAUGACUUUUAAUAAAUAAAUUGAUUUCUGUCAUUCUUUAUCAUUCUGAGAAUUUUUAAAUUCAAUACUAUCUUUUAAGAACCUGAAGUGCCAAGGAAAAAGAAGGUUCCUGAAGAAAGGAGACCUGUUCCUCCAAAAAGGGAAGAAGCACCACCAGCCAAAGGUACACAAUCUUUUUCUUCAAUUUCAGAAAACCUGCUUUCCUAAUCUUUAGGGGGUAGUCUGUUGGUGUUGUAGCAUAAAUAUACAUUGGUUGUUGAUUCUGUUGUAGAUUGAUCUAUGUUUUUUGUUGUCUAUUGUUGAUAAGAGUUUUAAAUCCUAAAACUUAUGUAAUGUUUUUAAAGUACCCCCAGUCCUUAAGAAGGCAGUAACAGAAGAGAAGGUUCAAGUGAUUGUCCCUGUUUCUAAGAAAGAAAAGGCAAUUGCUCCACCCAAAGUGGCUGAGGUCUCUAAGAAAACUGUUACAGAAGAGAAAAGAUUCUUUGCAGAAGAAAAAGUCUCAGUGGCAGUUCCCCAUAGAGUGGAAGUCACCCACCAUGAAGCAGAGGAAGAAUGGGGUUAUGAAGAAGAAGAAGAAAUGGUAUCCGUUGCUGUUUAUAGAGAAGAGGAAAGAGAGGAAGAGGAGGAACAAGUGGAGGUUACAUCAUACGAAGGUAUGAAUGCUACUUCCAAGACUACAAAGAAUCAGGACUCUUUAAAAAAAAACUAUAAUAUGGAUAUCAGAUUAAAAGAAAGCAACAAUCUUCAUUCAGUCAGCAAGUAG
rnacentral:lncRNA from 1 species